UACAGGGGGUGCAAACGUUGCUCGGAAUUAUUGGGCGUAAAGCGCGCGUAGGCGGCUACUUAAGUCGGAUGUGAAAGCCCUUGGCUCAACUGAGGAAGUGCACCCGAAACUGAGUGGCUUGAGUACUAAAGAGGGUCGCGGAAUUCCCGGUGUAGAGGUGAAAUUCGUAGAUAUUGGGAAGAACACCAGUGGCGAAGGCGGCUAACUGGUCCAGAUCUGACGCUGAGGUGCGAAAGCGUGGGGAGCAAACAGG
rnacentral:rRNA from 1 species